GUUUAUUUUAGAGUCAGUUGCUUUGCGGCAAUAAAUUAGACUUCAUUUCCCAUUCAUUUCAUCUGAAUUAGAUAAAUACGUAUUGCACACAGAUCUACAAUUACAUAAUCCAAUAUUCAUCAGGAUAAUACAUCAUAACAAAGGCAAUACUGGCUUCAUCAAGAAAAUUGCAAGUAAAGUGCAAUAUGAAAUCCUUAUUUGUAUCCAUAUAAUGUCACAUUAUAACAUUCUGCUGGUCUUGAAAAGAGAAAAAAAAAAAAAUGAAAUUAACAACAUACUUAAAACCUUUUUUUCUUUAUUCACUUUCUUUUGCUUUAUAUCCACCUUCAUAUACAUACAUUUUCUUUUUGUCACAUUUAAAGAAUACAUUAUAUUGACCUCUGUUUUCUCAUGAAACAGGUAGAGUUUGUCAACUGGUGGCUUUACAGUGGUGGAAGUGCAGUUUGCAGGAUGUUUUUCAGCUGUAGCUGAAACUGGCUCGGAGUUGUGGUACCACAACAGCUGUAAUGUUUCUUGAUGGCUAUUCCUGAGUAAUACAUUUCAUUUGCAUGAUAACUUCCAGAAACCAUCUAGAACAGGGGUACCCAAUAGAUAUAUCACCAGAUGUUUUGAAACUACGGCUUCCUUGAUGCUUUGUCAUUCUAAAAGCGUUCUAAAAGAAUGUAAAGCAUCACUGGAGUUGGAGUUCUACAACAUCUGGGGGAUCUACCUUUUGGGCACCUCUGUUCUAGAUGGUUUCUGGAAGUUAUCUUGCAUAUGAAAUGUAUUGCUCAUGAAUAGCCUGCAGCUGUUGUGGUACCACAACUCCGAGCCAGGUUGCUUACACUUACCCUAUUCUUUCUCACGUUCUCUCUCUCUCUCUCUCUCUCUCUCUCUCUCAAUCACCUCUUUUACAUUUCUUCUUACUUGUCUGUCUCUCUCUUCCCCUCUUCUGUCCAUCUAUUCUACCUCCAUAUCUCCUCCCUCCAGAAUUUUAUUAUUCUCCUUGCAAAACACACAUAAGGCAAUUAUGCCAUAAUAAAUACUGUUUAAUAUAAAAAUAUUAUUUUGACAAGCAAUGCACCUUGCCAUCGAUCAUUUCAAAUUAAACAUUUAAAAUAAAUACAUUUUAUAUUUUUUCAGUUUUCUAUCAAACACAUAUCUACAUC